CUGGCUGGAGGAAGCAGAUGGACAAGUGAAUGCAUGGUUAUGUCAGGUGGUGAUGAGAAUGUCAGAGUACUAUACCCAAGAGCAAACCAGUGAAAAAAUGGCCUUCGCACUCCUGAGAGACCUUUCACCGGGCUUUCUACUUUUGAAUUCUCUCCAUAGCUGGUUUCCUCUUAGGCCUCGAUAGAGCAGUCCCUGAAUCACACAGGUAUGCUGACUACGUCUUUUCCUGGUACAAACCAUCAUGGGGGAAACACACAGCAAGAAGCAUCUUCAGGUCACAAGAUAGGCCUUCUAAGACUGAAUUACAUCACCAGCUUUCCUGGGUCUCCAGCUUGCAGAUGGCACACUGUGGGACUUCUUAGCCUGCAGAAUCAUGUAAGCCAAUUCCCUACGUGCGUGUGUGUGUGUG
rnacentral:lncRNA from 10 species